GUUUCUGUAGUGUAAUGGAAUAGCACUGCAGACCGGAUAUCUGUAAGUGCUGGUUCGAAUCCUGCCUGAGGUU
rnacentral:tRNA from 1 species